rnacentral:rRNA from 1 species
AGGCCUACGGGGCGCAGCAGUGAGGAAUAUUGGUCAAUGGCCGAGAGGCUGAACCAGCCAAGUCGCGUGAGGGAUGACGGCCCUACGGGUUGUAAACCUCUUUUGUCGGGGAGCAAGACCCGCCACGAGUGGCGGAGCGAGAGUACCCGAAGAAAAAGCAUCGGCUAACUCCGUGCCAGCAGCCGCGGUAAUACGGAGGAUGCGAGCGUUAUCCGGAUUUAUUUGGUUUAAAGGGUGCGUAGGCGGGACGGUAAGUCAGCGGUAAAAAUGCGGAGCUCAACUCCGUCGAGUCGAUGAAACUGCCG